GUAACGCGUAAGAAUCUAACUUCAGGACGGGGACAACAGUUGGAAACGACUGCUAAUACCCGAUGUGCCGAAAGGUGAAACCUAAUUGGCCUGAAGAAGAGCUUGCGUCUGAUUAGCUAGUUGGUGGGGUAAGAGCCUACCAAGGCGACGAUCAGUAGCUGGUCUGAGAGGAUGAGCAGCCACACUGGGACUGAGACACGGCCCAGACUCCUACGGGAGGCAGCAGUGGGGAAUUUUCCGCAAUGGGCGAAAGCCUGACGGAGCAACGCCGCGUGAGGGAGGAAGGUCUUUGGAUUGUAAACCUCUUUUCUCAAGGAAGAAGUUCUGACGGUACUUGAGGAAUCAGCCUCGGCUAACUCCGUGCCAGCAGCCGCGGUAAUACGGGGGAGGCAAGCGUUAUCCGGAAUUAUUGGGCGUAAAGCGUCCGCAGGUGGUCAGCCAAGUCUGCCGUCAAAUCAGGUUGCUUAACGACCUAAAGGCGGUGGAAACUGGCAGACUAGAGAGCAGUAGGGGUAGCAGGAAUUCCCAGUGUAGCGGUGAAAUGCGUAGAGAUUGGGAAGAACAUCGGUGGCGAAAGCGUGCUACUGGGCUGUAUCUGACACUCAGGGA
rnacentral:rRNA from 1 species